rnacentral:rRNA from 1 species
UACAGAGGGUGCAAGCGUUGUUCGGAAUUAUUGGGCGUAAAGGGCGCGUAGGCGGUUCGGCAAGUCUCUAGUGAAAUCUCUGGGCUCAACUCAGAGUCUGCUGGGGGAAACUGCCGGGCUUGAGUGUGGGAGAGGAGAGUGGAAUUCCCGGUGUAGCGGUGAAAUGCGUAGAUAUCUGGAGGAACACCGGUGGUGUAGACGGCUUUCUGGACCGGUAACUGACGCUGAGACACGAAAGCGUGGGUAGCAAACAGG